rnacentral:rRNA from 1 species
UACAGGGGGUGCAAACGUUGCUCGGAAUUAUUGGGCGUAAAGCGCGCGUAGGCGGCUACUUAAGUCGGAUGUGAAAGCCCCUGGCUCAACUGGGGAAGUGCACCCGAAACUGAGUAGCUUGAGUGCAAAAGAGGGCCGCGGAAUUCCCGGUGUAGAGGUGAAAUUCGUAGAUAUUCGCAAGAACACCAGUGGCGAAGGCGGCUCACUGGCCCGGUACUGACGCUGAGGCACGAAAGCGUGGGGAGCAAACAGG